rnacentral:rRNA from 3 species
GUGGGUAGUUUGACUGGGGCGGUCUCCUCCUAAAGAGUAACGGAGGAGCACGAAGGUUGGCUAAUCCUGGUCGGACAUCAGGAGGUUAGUGCAAUGGCAUAAGCCAGCUUGACUGCGAGCGUGACGGCGCGAGCAGGUGCGAAAGCAGGUCAUAGUGAUCCGGUGGUUCUGAAUGGAAGGGCCAUCGCUCAACGGAUAAAAGGUACUCCGGGGAUAACAGGCUGAUACCGCCCAAGAGUUCAUAUCGACGGCGGUGUUUGGCACCUCGAUGUCGGCUCAUCACAUCCUGGGGCUGAAGUAGGUCCCAAGGGUAUGGCUGUUCGCCAUUUAAAGUGGUACGCGAGCUGGGUUUAGAACGUCGUGAGACAGUUCGGUCCCUAUCUGCCGUGGGCGCUGGAGAACUGAGGGGGGCUGCUCCUAGUACGAGAGGACCGGAGUGGACGCAUCACUGGUGUUCGGGUUGUCAUGCCAAUGGCACUGCCCGGUAGCUAAAUGCGGAAGAGAUAAGUGCUGAAAGCAUCUAAGCACGAAACUUGCCCCGAGAUGAGUUCUCCCUGAGACUUAGAGUCUCCUGAAGGAACGUUGAAGACGACGACGUUGAUAGGCCGGGUGUGUAAGCGCAGCGAUGCGUUGAGCUAA